rnacentral:rRNA from 1 species
AUACGGAGGAUGCAAGCGUUAUCCGAAUUUAUUGGGUUUAAAGGGUGCGUAGGCGGAUGAUUAAGCGUGAGGUGAAAUGCCACUGCUCAACAGUGGAACUGCCUCGCGAACUGGUUGUCUUGAAUGCUCCUGCCGUGGGAGGAAUGUGUGGUGUAGCGGUGAAAUGCAUAGAGAUCACACAGAAUACCGAUUGCGAAGGCAUCUCACGAAGGGGUGAUUGACGCUGAGGCACGAAAGCGUGGGGAUCAAACAGGAUUAGAUACCCUGGUAGUCCACGCAGUAAACGAUGAUAACUAACCGCUGGGUCGUAGUGAUUCAGUGGCCAAGCGAAAGCGAUAAGUGAUCCACCUGGGGAGUACGACCGCAAGGUUGAAACUCAAAUGAAUUGACGGGG